rnacentral:rRNA from 1 species
AGCGAACGCUGGCGGCAGGCUUAACACAUGCAAGUCGAACGGCAGCAUGGAGAGCUUGCUCUCUGAUGGCGAGUGGCGAACGGGUGAGUAAAGCAUCGGAACGUACCGUGUAGUGGGGGAUAACGUAGCGAAAGUUACGCUAAUACCGCAUACGCACUGAGGUGGAAAGCAGGGGAUCGUAAGACCUUGCGCUAUACGAGCGGCCGAUGUCAGCUUAGCUAGUUGGUAGGGUAAAGGCCUACCAGGGCGACGAUCUGUAGCGGGUCUGAGAGGAUGAUCCGCCACACUGGGACUGGGACACGGCCCAGACGGCGACGGGAGGCAGCAGUGGGGAAUGUUGGACAAUGGGGGCAACCCUGAUCCAGCCAUGCCGCGUGAGUGAAGAAGGCCUUUGGGUUGUAAAGCUCUUUCGGCCGGGAAGAAAUCGCACAGGCUAAUACCCUGUGUGGAUGACGGUACCGGCAUAAGAAGCACCGGCUAACUACGUGCCUGCCGCCGCAGUAA